rnacentral:lncRNA from 10 species
AAUUUAAGCUGGAAAAGGUUGGGCAGCUUAUUGUUGUCAAAUCAUAUAUGCAUGAAUAGAAACUAAAGAAGAAUAUAUCUCGGCAAGAAGGACUUCAGUGCUAAUUAGCAAGCUGGAAAAGUUCCAGUAGAAAUUGGAGGAGUACUUGUCCAAUUGGUGACAGAGUGAAUUUCUGCACUGAGUCCAGAGGCAUCAUAUAAACUGAUUCUGACUGCAAUGUGAGUUAUGUUUUACACACGUUCUAAUUGAAAUUGUAUAUAGUUCUCAUAAUUAUUUUGGUAUCUUUUAAUAAACAAUUACCAUUUACUUCAAUGUGAUUUGUUUAUUGAUUACUUAGUCUUCAGGCCAAUGAUUUGUAAGAGAUGACCAAUUCCUUUUAAAUGACAUAAAUGUUCUUAUUUUUUCUAGCAGGAGAUUUUGUGUGUGUGUGUCUGUGUGUGUGUGUGUGUGUGUGUGUCUUGUGUGUGUGUUUUCUUACAGUACACAGUUGGUUUUCUUUAAUAUGAGGGAUCUUCUUUAUUUUUUCAUACUUAAUGUUGUAAAAGUUGCACUGUGAAGAUAAAAAUGAUUCAAGGAACAACACUGCAGUGUCAGUACUUUUGUUUUUAUUUGUUUUAUCAUAUCUUUUUAGCCUCCAAAUGAGUAGUGAAACACAUUGACAGAAAUGAGAUAAACCAUGAAAUUUACUUCACCACUGAAAGGAGGAUGGGAUUCUUUAAUUAUGCCAUAUGAAGGAGCUGUGCCUAAGUGCUGGCUUUAGUCUUAACUGGCUAUGUGAACAAGGGCAAACCUUAUAUCCAUGUGGUCCACAGAUCUUCAGUGUGUAAGGAGAUUAUUCAAAUUAUCUCUAUGGUCUCUACUAGGUUUUUAAUCAGAAACAUUUGUAAUUAAUCUUAAUAAAAAUAUUAUGAUUAAAAACAAUAGGUUAUAGCUAUGAUACUGCUUAAUUGGCUACUAAUGCAAGUUGGUGCACUACAGUUCUCCAAGGAAUGCUCUGGUUAGUGGUCAGAUAUAGUUUAAUUUAUCUUUUAAAUUUUCAUAUUAGGUGUCUUUUUAAAGAAAGAAGUUUGGAAUAUCUUUGAUAUUUUUAAAAAUUGUGUUACUAGUAGUAAAAAUAAUUACAAUAAUAAAAACAAGCAUAAAGAUCUACAAAUAGUUUCAAAACUAAUAAUGUCUUAAAUACACACCUACUACAGAUGUUAAAGGAAAUGUUUCUAUCAUUUUUACAAUUAGGCACACCAUUUGCUCUAAAUUUUAAAAUAUGAAUUCUCAAAAAUUUAGAAAAUUUUUAUCAUGAAUAAUUUGAAGUGUAAACGAACUACAGAGUAAUAUUGAAUGUAGUUAUACACACAUUACCUUGAUUUAACAGUUAUCAAAUGUUGACACGUUGUUUUGUCUCUCCCUCCUAGUCUUUCCCCCUUCUUGGCUGAAAUAUUUUAAAGCAGAUGCUAGGCCUCAGGUCAUUUACCUUCUCAAACUGUUAUAUGUAUUUCUAAAAUAUAUGGACAUUUUUCCAAUGACCAAAAUGCUAUUAUCAUCUGUUAAAAAAUUAGCAAUUAUUACUUGGUAUUAUUGAGAUCUCAUCUUAUGUUUAAAUUUUCCUUAUUGUGUCAAAAUAUUAUUUUUACAG